CUGCACAAUUCAUUGUCCUGCUCUUUGCUCUGUAAGAGCUAAGAUAUUUAUUUUGUGCCAGAGGAACAUUGGAGCUCAAUUAGCAGAGUGGCUGCACUGUGCCAACUCUACCAGUCACCUUCAUACAGCA